rnacentral:tRNA from 1 species
GUCGUCGCGCGGGCCGGGUCGCUGCGGGCCCUCGGGCAACUCGAGGCCGCCGAGCGGCUGCUGCAGGACGCGCUCGGUACGGCUCCGGGCGACGCUGC